rnacentral:rRNA from 1 species
ACGGGUGAGUAACACGUUGGAACCUGCCCCAAAGUAAGGGAUAAGCCACCGAAAGGUGGUCUAAUACCUUAUAGUAUCCAUCUCGUAUGGAUUAAAGCUUUAUGCGCUUUGGGAGGGGCCUGCGUUUGAUUAGCUAGUUGGUGAGGUAAAAGCUCACCAAGGCGACGAUCAAUAGCUGGUUUGAGAGGAUGACCAGCCACACUGGGACUGAGAUACGGCCCAGACUCCUACGGGAGGCAGCAGUAAGGAAUCUUCCACAAUGGGGCAACCCUGAUGGAGCAAUACCGCGUGCAGGAUGAAGCGUUUCGGCGUGUAAACUGCUUUUAUCACCGAAGAUUAUGACUGUAGGUGAAGAAUAAGGACCGGCUAACUACGUG